rnacentral:rRNA from 1 species
UACGUAGGUGACAAGCGUUGUCCGGAUUUACUGGGCGUAAAGAGCGCGCAGGCGGUCGAUCAAGUCGAGUGUGAAAUCUCCCGGCUUAACUGGGAGGGUGCAGCGGAAACUAGAAUGCUAGAGGGUUGGAGAGGUAAGCGGAAUUCCUGGUGUAGCGGUGAAAUGCGUAGAUAUCAGGAGGAACACCGGUGGUGAAAACGGCUUUCUGGACCGUAACUGACGCUGAGGCACGAAAGCGUGGGUAGCAAACAGG